CCUACGGAGGCAGCAGUGAGGAAUAUUGGUCAAUGGGCCUAAGCCUGAACCAGCCAAGUCGCGUGAGGGAUGAAGGUUCUAUGGAUCGUAAACCUCUUUUAUAAGGGAAUAAAGUGUUGGACGUGUUCUGUUUUGUAUGUACCUUAUGAAUAAGGAGCGGCUAACUCCGUGCCAGCAGCCGCGGGAAUACGGAGGAUCCGAGCGUUAUCCGGAUUUAUUGGGUUUAAAGGGUGCGUAGGCGGCCUUUUAAGUCAGCGGUGAAAGUCUGUGGCUCAACCUGAGAAUUGCCGUUGAAACUGGGAGGCUUGAGUAUGUUUGAGGGAGGCAGAAUGCGUGGUGUAGCGGUGAAAUGCUUAGAUAUCACGCAGAACCACGAUUGCGAAGGCAGCCUGCCAAGCCAUGACUGACGCUGAUGCACGAAAGCGUGGGGAUCAAACAGGAUUAGAUACCCGUGUAGUC
rnacentral:rRNA from 1 species